GGGGCCGGGGGGGGCCUUGUUGCCCAUGGCAACGGCCCUGGGGGCCGGGGGCAGAGAGUGAGGGGCACAUAGAGACCAUAGAGACCAUAGAGACACAUAGAGACACAUAGAGACACAUAGAGACACAUAGAGACCAUAGAGACACAUAGAGACACAUAGAGACCAUAGAGACACAUAGAGACCAUAGAGACACAUAGAGACACAUAGAGACCAUAGAGACACAUAGAGACACAUAGAGACCUAUAGAGACACAUAGAGACACAUAGAGACACAUAGAGACACAUAGAGACCCAUAGAGACACAUAGAGACCCAUAGAUCCCGCCCCAUAGCCCCUAUAGGUCCCUCCUCUCACCUCCAUUGGCUCCCAUAGGGAAGGGGCGGGGCCCCAACCUCCUCAAAGCCCCUCCCCCUUACGUCGCGGUGACGUCAUCACGUCACGAGGGGGCGUGGCCUCAGCUGCUCCCUUCCGCUUCCGACCUCGGGUCAUUAGCAUAUGGAUAUUGAUCUCGUCGCGACAUUAAUAUCGGCUCUGGAUGACGUCAUCGUGAUGGAUAAUUAAUGGGAUUAUCAAUGCAUUAAUGACUGCAGGAUCCCUGCCAGCGCCCAUGGACCCCAUAGAGCUCCAUUGACCCCUAUUGAUCCCCAUUGACUCUCAUUCAUCCCCAUUGACCCCCAUUGAUCCCCAUUGAUCCCCAUUGAUCCCCAUUGACCCCAUUGAUCCCCAUUGAUCCCCAUUGACCCCCAUUGAUCCCCAUUGACCCCCAUUGAUCCCCAUUGACUUCCAUUGACUCUCAUUGAUCCCCAUUGACCCCCAUUGACUCCCAUUGCCCCCCAUUGACCCCCCCCAUGUCCCAUCGGUACCGGUGCCGGUACGAGCGGCUGCGCCGCGCCGCGCGGGCUCUGGUGCUGGAGUCUGGAGCUCUGUGAGACACUGCCCAUUGACCCCUAUUGAUCCCCAUUGACCCCCAUUGAUCCCCAUUGACCCCCAUUGAUACCCAUUGACCCCCAUUGAUCCCCAUUGACCCCCAUUGACCCCCAUUGAUCCCCAUUGAUCCCCAUUGAUCCCCAUUGAUCCCCAUUGAUCCCCAUUGAUACCCAUUGACCCCCAUUGACUCUCAUUGAUUCCCAUUGACUUCCAUUGACUCCCAUUGAUCCCCAUUGACUCCAUUGACCCCCAUUGAUCCCCAUUGAUCCCCAUUGACUCUCAUUGACCUCCAUUGACUCUCAUUCAUCCCCAUUGACUCUCAUUGACUCCCAUUGAUUCCUAUUGACCACUAUUGAUCCAAUUGACCCCUCUUGACUCCCAUUGACACCCAUUGACUCCAUUGAUCCCCAUUGACUCUCAUUGACUUCCAUUGAUCCCCAUUGACCCCCAUUGACUCCCAUUGAUCCCCAUUGAUCCCCAGUAUGUCCCAUCGGUACCGGUGCCGGUACGAGCGGCUGCGCCGCGCCGCGUGGGCUCUGGUGCUGGAGGUUGGAGCUCUGUGAGACACUGCCCAUUGACCCCUAUUGAUCCCCAUUGAUCCCCAUUGAACCCCAUUGAACCCCAUUGAUCCCCAUUGACUCCCAUU
rnacentral:lncRNA from 1 species